AAAUCAAUUAAGAAGAAGAAGAAAAAAGAUGGUAUAUUCUUAUACCUAGAAUAUUACUCAGCCAUAAAAAUGGAAUAGUUGAUCCAAAUAAUAACGUGGAUAGAUAUUAAACAAAAUUUAUAUUGAGCAAAAGAAGCUAUCCCCCAAAGAAUAAUCAAUGCAUUUUUGUAUUCGCAUGAGAUAAUAGAAAUCAGAACAGUAUUUGCUGGGGCGUACACAUCUGGGGUGAUGGAAACAAUCUAUCACAUAGUGGGAGGUAAUGAUGAUUUGGGUAUACACAUCUGCCAAAACUUAAUGAACUUCAUAACUAAGAUGUGUCCACUUUAUUAUAUGAAAAUUGCAACUCAAUUAAAAUUACUAAGCAUAAAAGUUUGUGGGAAUGAUAAGAGCUUUCACUGAGGCUACUUCAACCAGAAAGCAUAGCAGUUGGCCAGUGCCUGGCAUGGGGGACCAGAGUUUUGGUAUAAAAAACAUGUCUGAUUAUAACAUGACUUUCCUUUCGUAUAAAAUUGGAGCUAUUGACCUCUUCUUAUGAUAGUGCUAUUAGGAUUAAAUAAUACAACAUAGGCGAAAAUUUUCUCCUGUGUUUCAAAGGCAUUUGAAUUAUUUAAUUUAUUUUAGUUCUCUUCUUCACUUCUGUCCUGAAUCUCAAGUUCACAAUCCUAAGCGAAUUAGUUUAGACCAUUUAGAUAACACAUUCAAUGUUUCAUCCCUUUGUCGGACUGCCUUAAAGCCAGCAGCUCUCUGCCCUGUCCCCAAGGCUCUCCCCUGCAUUUUUUAAUUCUCUGGUGUCAAAGGCAAUUCUCAAGUGAAAUAAACCCUCAUGUUGCCCUACCUGAACUUCUGGGAGCCAUAAGGAGAAGAAUAAAGAGCGGAAGAGAGAGUAUAAACCAGCAUUAAAUGCCAGGGGCGUUGGCUGCCUCUCUCCCAGUGGCCACAUCUGUGCCAGGGGACUCUGCUCCUCAACUGCUGACUGACCCAGAGCAGAGCCAACUGUCCCCAGUUGGAUCGCUCUGUCUCUUGGGAAUGUCACGUGAGAACAGAGAGACACUGGAGAUGAAUCACAUUAAUGACACCAACCUGCUGGGAGAGACCGCCCAGUUCUGUACCAGUGUCUAGAGAGCCCUUCCUGAGUCUCAGAUCUAAAACUCAUCGUCUGAUUCCUUGCACUACCUCCCCCAACAUGUGAGUUCGGUGACUUUCGACCUAAAGAACCAGAACUAUGAUAAAUCCAAAAGUCUCCUCUUCAUUUCUCAAAAUCUUUGUUCCUUCUGGAUCUUCUACAUUCAAAAUCUGUUUACUUCCCGUCUUUUCCCACUUACUUCUAACACCCAGAGAAAGGAAUCAGACAAUACCUUUCAGACCCUCCUGGCGGGAUGCAGUCUCUCAGCCGUGCAACUCGCUGGAGGUCCUCCGCAUCCGACGAUGUUACUCAACGCACCCUCCCCAAUCUUCCUGAGGCUAUUAAAUUGACAUGAGAAUGUGGGAGACUCUGGGGCCAAAACCCUAUGAAUAUUUGACGAAUAGCUCUCUUUUCAUGUCCUGUUUGAAGAAUAUUUUUCUUUUUAUGUUCUUUCCUUCCUUCUAAUUAGUUUAUUUUCUGUGGAGUGCUGGAAAGCAAAGUCAUUCUGUUAACAUAUAUUAAAAUGUGUCCCUGAUGUUUGAAGAAUUAUUUUCAAUAACAUCUGUAAUUUUCUGUCGUUCUGGGUAGUGUGGUGGAAAAAUUCAAAUAAGAAAAAUUCAAGUUAAUGUCUUUUGGAGUUUUUUACAGACUUUUGGUAUAUGUAAAUCUGGAUUCAGUAAAUAUUUAUUAGGCUCUUUUGUGUGCAGAGCAUUGUGUAAUGUUAAUACUAGCUCACUGUUACUCCUAGUAAUAACAAUAAUAGUAAUGGCUGCUAUUAUUUAAAUGAGUAGUCAGUAUACUAAUUCUAUUAUUUUAUUUAAUCCUUACAGCAAUUCCAAAAGGUGGAUAUUAUCAUAAAAUCCAUUUUUUAAGAAGAGAAGCAGCUUUAGACAAAGGAAGUAACUUAAGUUCAUACAGUACAUGGUAGAAACAGACUUUGAGCCCGGUUUUAAUUGACUCCAGUUUUGUUUUUAACUCCUGUGGCAGAUGCUGUAGGUGCUCCCCCUACAUCUCCUCACCCUGAUGGAUUUCUAACUCCCAGCCCCUGAUUUCUUUUCUCAAAGGCCUGAUUUCACUUUGCCCAUAAUGUGGCUGACUAGGAACACUGGAGAAUUCGUGCCCACUCCCCCUGCAGUCUCCAACAAAGAUGACAAAAGUUUGUGUAGAAAUACCCCAGCUCACUAACCCCUCAGGUGGGCUAACUCCUGGGAGCAUGUUCUUCAUUGUUCUAGAAUUCUCUAGCAGUCCACAGUGAUAGCAAACCCUUAUUGCCUGCUCUGUUUUCCAGGUUCCCUCCUGUAGUCCUCUACUUGUGUUUUCUACUUGCACCUGUAUCCUUGUUGACAAGUCUGUUUCUGGGUGAACCCAAACUAAAAUGACUUCUGCUCUGAACUCUGUUGGAGGACCAGGAUUUACUCCUAGAAAGACAACUGUGAACCCACUGAGAAAAGAUAGAAGUUCCCGUCUCCUUGAUCAAGCGCUUUCUCCAGACUUAUCCCAUCCCAGCAAGCCUGUGUGGACACUUGGUUUGUAGAUUCUGCCAAGGAAGGACCUUUAGGGCAGGGCCUCCGAUCAUCUAGAAGUUGGAGUCCAUCUGUCAAAGACCAGGGUCUUCUGCUGUCACUUACAUCGACUUCCCUAUUGUCUUCCUGAGCACUCUGUUUUGAGAUCUUAGGGCUCCAAGUUCUGUCUAAUACAGUUGGGCAGUGGGCCAGGAAGAGACUCUGACCCCUCAUUGUCUAUGGGAGGCUCUGAAUUCUGCCAGAGCUCAAUAAAGGUAAAACAUCUACAAUGUGCUCGCUGUGAUCACUCAAUAAAGAGCUAUUCGUAGGCUGAAUAAGAGCCCCUCCAAAGAUGUCCACAGCCUGAUCUCCAGGACCUGUGAGUACAUUACCUUACAAAGUGAAAGGGACUUUGCAGAUGUAAAUGAGCUAAGGAUCUUGAGACGGGGAGAUUAUCCUGUAUUAUCCAGGUUGACUUGAUGUAAUCGUAAGGGUCUUUAUAAGGGAGAUGCAGGAGGGUCAAAGUCAAGAAAAAAAGGAUAUGAUGAUAGAAGCAGAGGUAAACGAUGGGCUUUGAAAAUGGAGGAAAGGACCAUCAACCAAGAAAUGAAAGUGGCUUCUAGAAGCUGGAAAAGUCAAGGAAACAGAUUUUCCGUUACAGACUCCAGGAGGAGUGCAACCCUGCUGACCCAUUCUGGACUGGAAGAUAAUAAGUGGGUGCUGAUUCAGUCCACCCAGUUUGUGGUCAUUCGCUACAGCAGCAACAGGAAAUGAAUGCAUUAGCUCAUAAUGUCAUCUGCACACAGUCUCAAGUCAACGAUAUGUGUCAGUACUGGGUCCAGAAGCAGAAUGCUAAGUGCCAAGAGUCAGGGCUUUAAGGUGAGAUGUCCUGAAUUUGAAUCUUGGCAUGGCCAUUUACUGGCUCCAUGAUCUUGGAUGUGUUAGUUACAUUCUAUGCAUCCUAAAUUCCUCAUUUGUGGCUUGGGGAUCACACCAGUUGUCUCCUAGUUUUAUUGUGAUUGUAUAAUAUAUCAAAAAAUCUUAGAGCAGGGCAUUUGCAUUAUGCAUUUGCUUUAUUCUCGUUUCAUUUUUUCCCCUUCUGUCAGUCAGUAAGAAGCAUAUUUUUCUGUAUUCCUUUAUGGAGGCACCAGAAUUUUUGCUGAAAUUCUCAAUGGCAUGAUCCCUUUGUUGGUUAUGACUGAAAAAGCUCUUAGUCUAGCAUUUCGUAAAGAUAAGAAGGUUAGUUGAGAAAAAUCAUACCUAUAUGAUGAAUUGAAUCGUUUGUAAAUUUUCUCCUGUAAGUAUGAUCUGACAAAUGUACACAAUCACCAGCUUCUCCUUUCUCAGUUCCCGAUGCUCUGCGUCUGUAUCAUCUCCAACCUCACGAGUCCAUCUUGGGACUGCUGGUUACUCUAUUUCUGGUAUCUUAACUGAGGCCAUGGUCAUAGAAUUCUCCAACUGCCAAGUUGCAGGGGCUCACAGUUCCACCCUCACUGCCUUUGUGCAGUGGUGUUUCUAUGUGCUUCGUGAAAAUCCACGCAUGUGGAACUUGUAGAAUUUUCCCAUUUCCCGUGUACUGUCCUCCCCCUGUGACUACUCCCGUGGUCUCUGCUCCCUUCUUCUGUGGGAGGAACUUCAUUUGCAGCCUCAGUAACAGGAGAGAAAAAUGAUACCUUUUGGGAUAAGCCACAUAUUCAAGACUCUGUUCAGUUCUCAGAAGCACUUUUCCUGCUACAGUUUCCUGUCCCCGGUAUCACUGCCCCAGAGCUCAGUUGAAUUGCUUUCUGUCUGAGGCUCCCCUGAUAAGGCCAUUCAGGUUCCCUAGAUGUGAAUCUCAAAAUAGGUCGCUCUCUCAUACCUGCAAGAAGAUUCAGCCUCUGGCAUUUAGCUUUGAUUCAUCUGACAAACAUGCACUGAUACUCCCCAGUGCAGAGGAGCCCUGAGCAAAGGGCUGAGGGCAGGUCAGAGCAUUAGCACUGUUACCUCCUUCCAGGAUGUUCCUUCCCAUCUGCAGGGCCAGGACAGGAGAACAAAUGCAGGCCCACAUCCCGUAUGUCUAAAUACUUAAAAGUUAGAAAGCAAAGAAUAAACUAUUUAAAUAUUUUAUAUUCCCUACCUAUUUCUUGCAUAUCUUCAGUACCAGGGAUUAGAACAAGAUGGACUCUCAUUAAGUAUCGCAAAAUUUUCCCUUAUUAUGUAAUAAUUUACUGCAUUCAUGCCAUCUGAAAGGAAAGAUGUGAUAAAGUAAUUAAUCUGUCUUUUCUUAACACUUCCUCUGCUGAACUCCUCCUCAGAUUCUGAAGCAGCAUCCAUGUUCAAAGUCAGACAUUGGCAUAACCCACAACCUUCAAGUCACUUGGAUGCAGUCAUCUCUUCUUCAAGGUUGGAAGGCAUGAGCCAUGGGGAGCAUUUCCCUGGGGCCUGAAUAGUAUGAAUCCUGAGAGAGGCUGUCUGUGGCUAAGAGUUGCACUGUGUCAGCAUGAAGCUCUGCACUGCAAGGAAAAGAGGCAUCUUUGUUUCCUUUAACAUAUUUGUGUGUAUGUGUUUGUGUGUGUGUUUGUGCUUUAAGGGAUCCUCUAAAGCACAAAGCAUGGAGGUCUGCGCAAAAACCCCUCCUUGCUAAGGUUUGAAGACUACACUUUUCCAGGUUUUUAUAAUCUAGUUGAACAAAGAAGAAUUAGGAAUAUAGAACCAUUAUGAAGCAGCACAAGACAGCACAAGACACGGCACGACUUAGUUAACAAGUAGUGGCAAGGACAAUAGCUUUUU